rnacentral:rRNA from 1 species
UACGUAGGGCGCAAGCGUUGUCCGGAAUUAUUGGGCGUAAAGAGCUCGUAGGCGGCUUGUCACGUCGGGUGUGAAAGCCCGGGGCUUAACCCCGGGUCUGCAUUCGAUACGGGCUAGCUAGAGUGUGGUAGGGGAGAUCGGAAUUCCUGGUGUAGCGGUGAAAUGCGCAGAUAUCAGGAGGAACACCGGUGGCGAAGACGGAUCUCUGGGCCAUUACUGACGCUGAGGAGCGAAAGCGUGGGGAGCGAACAGG